GACAGAGGGUGCAAACGUUGUUCGGAAUUACUGGGCGUAAAGCGCGUGUAGGCUGCUCCGCAAGUCGGAUGUGAAAGCCCUGGGCUCAACCUAGGAAGUGCAUUCGAUACUGCGGAGCUGGAGUCCUGGAGAGGAAGGCGGAAUUCUCGGUGUAGAGGUGAAAUUCGUAGAUAUCGAGAGGAACACCGGUGGCGAAGGCGGCCUUCUGGACAGUGACUGACGCUGAGACGCGAAAGCGUGGGGAGCAAACAGG
rnacentral:rRNA from 1 species